GGCAGAUCCUUCUUAGCUAGAUGCAAAAAACUACUUCACUUUGCACUUCCUGCUCCAACCCUCCGAACCUGUCUCCUUUCUGCAGGCCCAGUUACUUACCAUUCUUCAUGACACAGGCCAUCCCUGAUCCUAUUCCACAACAGGAAACUUCACAUGUCCUUAGAACUUUAACUUAAUAAAUAGUAACACAGUUUGCUGCAGGACUUUGUAUAAAAAGGAGUAGUGGCCGGGUGCCGUGGCCCACACCUGCAAUCCCAGCACUUUGGGAGGCCAAGGCAGGUGGAUCACUUAAGGUCAGAAAUUUUGAGUGAUAGUUAAAUAUUCUCUGAAUAUUAAUUCUAUUGUAUAGCUUUAUUUCUUUUUGAAAAUAUAAAGGAAUCUAAAACUUAGUUACUUAAACUGUAAUUUUUCAUUGUUCCCUCA
rnacentral:lncRNA from 1 species